rnacentral:lncRNA from 1 species
GCUGUAUAUUUAUCAAAAUUAAAAAAAAUGGACUUUUUACAGUUUUAUAAAAUUUGAUCCACAUAAUCUCCCUGCAAAAUGAAACAAAAUGUCGUUUUAAAAAAUAGGGGUCCAUGCACUCGUUUUCAAAUUAAAUCAGUUUGAAUGAUAAAAAUCAGUCGAAAAAUGCAUCUUUUCCCGAUAUGUCAUAGUUUGACGUCGCGAAACUAACAUUUUACGUUAGCAACGUCAUUACCUCA